rnacentral:rRNA from 1 species
UACGUAGGGACCGAGCGUUGUCCGGAAUUAUUGGGCGUAAAGAGCUCGUAGGCGGUGUGUCGCGUCGGCCGUGAAAACCUGCAGCUUAACUGUGGGCUUGCGGUCGAUACGGGCAUCACUGGAGUUCGGCAGGGGAGACUGGAAUUCCUGGUGUAGCGGUGAAAUGCGCAGAUAUCAGGAGGAACACCGGUGGCGAAGGCGGGUCUCUGGGCCGAUACUGACGCUGAGGAGCGAAAGCGUGGGGAGCGAACAGGA